AGCAGCCGCGGUAAUUCCAGCUCCAAUAGCGUAUAUUAAAGUUGUUGCAGUUAAAAAGCUCGUAGUUGAAUUUCGGGAUCAAUGCGUCGGUCGUGCCUUCGGUACGUACUAGCGUCAUUGAUUCCUCCCUUCUGAAGAACCGUGAUGUCAUUAAUUUGGUGUUACGGGGAAUCAGGACUGUUACCUUGAAAAAACUAGAGUGUUUAAAGCAGGCUAACGCUUGAAUACAUUAGCAUGGAAUAAUGAAAUAGGACGUUCGAACCUAUUUUGUUGGUUUCUAGGAUCGACGUAAUGAUUAAUAGGGAUAGUUGGGGGCAUUAGUAUUCAAUUGUCAGAGGUGAAAUUCUUGGAUUUAUUGAAGACUGACUACUGCGAAAGCAUUUGCCAAGGAUGUUUUCAUUAAUCAAGAACGAAAGUUAGGGGAUCGAAGACGAUCAGAUACCGUCGUAGUCUUAACCAUAAACUAUGCCGACUAGGGAUCGGAUGAUGUUAAUUUUUUAAUGACUCA
rnacentral:rRNA from 1 species